rnacentral:rRNA from 1 species
UGAGGAAUAUUGGACAAUGGUGGGAACACUGAUCCAGCCAUGCCGCGUGCAGGAUGACUGCCCUAUGGGUUGUAAACUGCUUUUAUACGGGAAGAAACCCAGGUACGUGUACCUGGCUGACGGUACCGUAAGAAUAAGGACCGGCUAACUCCGUGCCAGCAGCCGCGGUAAUACGGAGGGUCCGAGCGUUAUCCGGAAUCAUUGGGUUUAAAGGGUCCGUAGGUGGGCCUAUAAGUCAGAGGUGAAAGGCCACGGCUCAACCGUGGGACUGCCUUUGAUACUGUAGGUCUUGAGUCAUAGUGGGGUUGCCGGAACAUGUGGUGUAGCGGUGAAAUGCAUAGAUAUCACAUAGAACACCGAUCGCGAAGGCAGGUGGCCAACUAUUGACUGACACUGAUGGACGAAAGCGUGGGGAGCGAACGGGAUUAGAUACCCCCGUAGUCC